UAAGACGUAAGGAACCUGCCCCUAUGCCUGGGAUAACUCUGGGAAACGAGAGCUAAUACCGGAUAGGUGAACGGAAGACAUCUUCGGUUCAUGAAAGAUGGGGAACAUCACAGAGGGAUGGCCUUACGGCGCAUUAGCUAGUUGGAGAGGUAGAGGCUCACCAAGGCGAUGAUGCGUAGCCGGCCUGAGAGGGUGAACGGCCACAUUGGGACUGAGACACGGCCCAGACUCCUACGGGAGGCAGCAG
rnacentral:rRNA from 1 species